ACUAAAGUGGCAGAGUAGUGCAAGGAAUUUAAGCUUCCUAAAUGAUUUAGAUCCUUUAGAA
rnacentral:tRNA from 1 species